rnacentral:lncRNA from 10 species
GCUUUUCGGCACCACCCAAGAUGUACUAAUGCGCCUUGUGAAGACUCACUCCCGUGGCCUCUGGGGUUCGGCAUUGAAAGAGAGGGUGGGAGAGGAAAGGAAAGAGAAGGGGAAAGGACUCAUUUGGAAGCAGUGCAUUUUUAUCAGAGGGACUGAAAAGCCUUUCGAGAAUCAGUCAAGAAAAAGGAAUGCGCAUGAGAGUCAUGGUCACAUCAUGUGAUUGUAGGGAAAGCCUAGGCUAUCAUGGAGGGAAGAGAUUGGAUAAAUUAUUUGAAAAGCAAGCCUGUGAAUUGCUGUGGAGGAACAAUAGCCUGUCUCUUAUCUGGAGCCUUUCCAAGGAAAAGCAAAGGGGACCCUAGAAGGCUUCCUGGGAGACAGUUUAAUUCUGAAAACAAAGCAGUACUUCACCUCUUGUGUGUUGGGUAGAGCUGUAAAACAGAACACAGUCAAAAUAGUCAUUAGGGCCACAUCAAUGUCUGCCCAAAGUCAGGCGAGCAUUCCCAGGAAGGUGGGGGGCUGUGGCAGUUGCACACAUCAACCUCCUUUCUCCAUUGUCACACAGCAGAAGAGCGUGUUCCAUUCUACUAAAGUUGGGGCGGGGGGAGUUGAAUAAUUUAUUGACUGAAAACUGGGGGCCUGAGUUAGAUGGUAAAAAAGUUUAGAGUGCUGUUUUUUGUUUUUUAAGUUAUGUUUGUUUUAUAUAUUGAAGUGCUUAAAAUGUAUUUUAAAAAUUCAAAACAUCCCAGAAAUUCAGCAACUUGAGGAGACAAUAGUGACGAACAUUUUAUGGCAACAUUUGGACACUUUAAAGAUUAUUUCAGGAACUUUAAUGCUGAUAAAUGAGAGAAGGGACAACUUUUCCUAACUAUAACAUUUCGGCACCUGAGUACAGGGAUCAAAACAAGAGCAAGCAUUUCAAAUUCAUAUUGUGAAGCACCUACAAAAAGAUUAUUCUGUUAGCCUUCAUAAUGUGGAGAGUUCAUCUUUUCAUCUUAUCAAAUAAAAAUAUACCCAAAUUCUUGAACAGGCAUUCAGUUAGGAAAAGAGGGUGGGGUGAUGAAAUGUGUUCUCAUUCAGCAAACACUUUGCAGAUAUUUCUAGUCAAAGAUCCCUGUGGUCUAGGCUAGUGAGAGAAAAACGUGCCCUCUGCCCAGUGACAGCGGCUGCACGGGGAUCAGCUUUCACCAAUGCAGGCAGGGGAACAAAGGGCAGGCUUCAUCUGCCUGCAUCCCACAGGCCCUUGCGCAGGGGAGUUCCAUUUCAGUGCCCAUCACAUGACCUCUCAGGCCAAAACGGUUUUUAAUAAUUCUGAUUUUGAAUAUCAAAUGGAAGUGAAAAGUACAUUUAGGAAGGAAGGGCUCUAUCCUUAUUGAAGAACAUGCUCUAUGCAAACAGGUUGGACAGGCACUAGCUCUUGUAGAGCUAUGGUUCUCAGCUUUGGCAACACACUGGAUCACCUCCUCUAAAAGGUACUGAUGCCUGCUUUCCUCCCUCUUCUGCCCCUAAAGAAAGUAGAAUUUAAUUUUAAGCUCUAGGGUGUGGCCUGGGCAUCAGGACUUUUUUUUUUUUUUUGACAGAGUCUCACUGUGUCACCUAGGCUAGAGUGCAGUGUGCAGUCUUGGCUCACUGCAGCCUCAAUCUCCCAGAUUCAAGAGAUCCUCCUGCCUCAGCCCCCUAAGUAACUAGGAUUACAGGCACGCACCACCACACCAGGCUAAUUUUUGUAUUUUUUGUGGAGACGGUCUUUCACUGUGUUGCCCAAGCUGGUCUUGAACUCCUGAGCUCAGGUGAUCCACCUGCCUCAGCCUCCCAAAGUGCUGGGAUUACAGGCAUAAGCCACAGCCCCUGGCCGGCAUCAGGAUUUUUAAAAGCUCCCAAGUGCAGUCAAGGUUGAGAACAGCUGCUAUAGUGUGACUUAAUACAGCAUUCAAAGCCUCUCAUAAUCUAGCCUCAGCCUAAUUUUUCCUUCCAGCACCCCAUCUCAGCCUGUACAUAAGCCACAGAGACAUUCUCACUGUUCUCUGAAUGUACUUGGCUCAUUCAUAUUUCCAGGCUUUCUUGCACACACAUUGUCUGACUCUGGGCACCUAAGGAAAGCUCAGCUCCAAUGUCCUCUCCUCUUCCGUGAAACCUUUCCUGUCAAGCCCACCUUCACUACUAAGUCACUCCUUGCUCCUAGAUCAGAUGGAAGAAUGCUUUGGCAUAUCUCUACUGGAGCCCUUCUCACUUUACAUUAAAGAUAACUGUAUAUAGGUUAGCCCACUCCUCCUCCCUAAUAGCAUGUGGACCCUUUGUAGUUUCAGCAGUAAGCACAGGGCUUGGUUUCUAUGAAUACUUAUUGAGUGAAUGGAUGAAUGAAUGCCAAUCUUGUACAUUGUUGAUGUUCACCACAUUGAACCCAGUUCUCAAACCAGGAUCACUUGGGAGAUUCUGAGUCAAUAAUUUGAAGGUCUGUAUCAUUCCUACUCAAAGUGUGGUCCAUAAGCCAGCAGUGGCUAUAUUAUCUGGGAGCUUGUUGCAAAUGCAGAAUAUGUAUUUUAACAAGAUCCCCAGGCAAUUCAUAUGCACAUUACACUUUGAGCUAUAUUUUUAACAAGCUCCCAGGUGAUUCCUUUGUAGCCCGGCUGCUGACCUGCAUUUCGUAACCACUGUUCUAGACCUUCAUUUGCUGAAUGGAGUGGUCCCUGUGUGAUUGCCUACAGGUUUCUUCUAGUCUCCCAUUUUUCUUCCUAGUUAACAAAGCCCAAAUUUUGUUUGGAAGGGUGAUCAGCCCUUCACCCAUCAGGCCUUUGCCUCAGGGAAGCUUGACCCCACCUUUAGACCCCAUGUUGGGCCUGAGUAGUCCAAAGGCAUAUCCCAUUCCCCUGGCCAGGGAUUAGUUUAGGGAUAGACAUGUGACCAAAUUCAGCUCAAUAAAAUGUGAGUCUGCAGGGGCAAUCUAGAAAAAGUGUCCUCUUCCCUAAGAGAAAGCCACAGGAGGGUAAAAAAAUGUCUCAGAACAUUGUCCUGCCUAAACAUGAUGCCUCGGACAUUCUGCUUCUGUCUUGCUACCUGCAGCACAAGGAAAUCCAACACUGAGGGGUCACAGCAGAGGGACGGAAAGCACCUGGAUCUUACAACAUUGUUGAGCUCUUUUGUCUCUUGACUUCUAGUUAUGAGAUGUAAUUUUCUUACUGUUAAAGUCAUUUCUGUUCCUUGCAACCAAAAGCAUUCAUUGAUACACUGAAUAUAGUACAAUAUUUAUUCAAUCAAUAAAUGCCUGGCAAAUUACCCAAGUAUGAGUAAUUGUAGUUUGUCUCACAGCUAUUCUUUCAAGUAAAAGUGAUGCUCCAUGACAAAAACGGCUAGUUUAGCUUGUAACACAAACAACUGCACAAGUGCUUUUCCUUCAGACAAGUAUUGUACUUUCAUAUGUAACAGAUGUAUGUGCUUUAUGCAUGUUCCCAUUUCAUAACACAGAGUAUUAGAAACAUGUAUACUUCAGGGUUGAGAUCUCAUAAAAUGAGUAGUUUUCACAGCUUCAUUGAGGACACUCUUAAAUGAAACUGGCAGGUUUUUUUUUUUGAGUACUAGGAAAUGGGUGGCAGUAAAGAAUACAGUAACUAUUAAUAUAGUGUGGUGCUACUGCCUUGAAUUGUGCUAAGGCAUCGGCAGUUUUCGUCAUCAUUGCUUUGACAUCAUCAGUGCAGGUGUCAAUACAGUGAAAAAGGUAAAUGGCAUCUUGGUGUGAUUAUGGAAAUAGAUUGAUCUAAUGGACCGCCUGAAGUAGGCUUGGCCUCCCCAGGGAUCUUAGAGAACUGCUAUAGUAGGUGAUUACUUGGGAAACAAAAUCUCUUAGGAGAAGUUAUGGAUACAAAAUGGUUAUUGUUGAGGCCUGGAAGAGAC